rnacentral:rRNA from 1 species
CCUACGGGAGGCAGCAGUGGGGAAUUUUGGACAAUGGGCGAAAGCCUGAUCCAGCAAUGCCGCGUGAGUGAAGAAGGCCUUCGGGUUGUAAAGCUCUUUUGUCAGGGAAGAAACGGUGAGGGCUAAUAUCCCUUGCUAAUGACGGUACCUGAAGAAUAAGCACCGGCUAACUACGUGCCAGCAGCCGCGGUAAUACGUAGGGUGCAAGCGUUAAUCGGAAUUACUGGGCGUAAAGCGUGCGCAGGCGGUUUUGUAAGUCUGUCGUGAAAUCCCCGGGCUCAACCUGGGAAUUGCGAUGGAGACUGCAAGGCUAGAAUCUGGCAGAGGGGGGUAGAAUUCCACGUGUAGCAGUGAAAUGCGUAGAGAUGUGGAGGAACACCGAUGGCGAAGGCAGCCCCCUGGGUCAAGAUUGACGCUCAUGCACGAAAGCGUGGGGAGCAAACAGGAUUAGAUACCCUGGUAGUCCACGCCCUAAACGAUGUCUACUAGUUGUCGGGUUUUAAUUAACUUGGUAACGCAGCUAACGCGUGAAGUAGACCGCCUGGGGAGUACGGUCGCAAGNUUAAAACUCAAAGGAAUUGACGG